GUGGCUUUGUUUAAAGAUUAGUUUAUGAUUUGCUAAAGCUGAUUAAUUUUUAGUAAGUUUUUGUUCGAUGGAGCCUAAAAAAAAUGUUCCCCUCGCUAUCCUAUGUUGCUAUCAGUGUUAACAUCUGGACGUUGGGAAACUACAUUU